AGGAAGCACCGGCUAACUCCGUGCCAGCAGCCGCGGUAAUACGGAGGGUGCAAGCGUUGUUCGGAAUUAUUGGGCGUAAAGCGCGUGUAGGCGGUCGAGUAAGUCAGAUGUGAAAGCCUUCCGCUCAACGGAAGAAGUGCAUUUGAAACUGCUUGGCUAGAGUACGGGAGAGGAGAGUGGAAUUCCCGGUGUAGAGGUGAAAUUUGUAGAUAUCGGGAGGAGCACCAGUGGCGAAGGCGGCUCUCUGGUCCGAUACUGACGCUGAGACGCGAAAGCGUGGGGAGCAAACAGGAUUAGAUACCCUGGUAGUCCACGCCGUAAACGAUGGGCACUAGGUGUAGGAGGUAUUGACCCCUUCUGUGCCGAAGCUAACGCA
rnacentral:rRNA from 1 species